rnacentral:rRNA from 1 species
AGCAACAGCAGCAGUUUUUUGUGACCUCAAAAAGCUAAGCAGAAACACAUUUAGUUAGUAUUUGGAUAGGGGACCACCACGAAGUAGCAGGGCUGUAGGCU